UGGGGAAUAUUGCACAAUGGGGGAAACCCUGAUGCAGCGACGCCGCGUGAACGAAGAAGGUAUUCGUAUCGUAAAGUUCUGUCCUAUGGGAAGAUAAUGACAGUACCAUAGAAGAAAGCUCCGGCUAAAUACGUGCCAGCAGCCGCGGUAAUACGUAUGGAGCGAGCGUUGUCCGGAAUUAUUGGGCGUAAAGGGUACGCAGGCGGUUGAAUAAGUCGAAUGUUAAAGAUCGGGGCUCAACCCCGCAAAGCAUUGGAAACUGAUAAACAUGAGUAGUGGAGAGGAGAGUGGAAUUCCUAGUGUAGUGGUGAAAUACGUAGAUAUAAGGAGGAAUACCAGUAGCGAAGGCGACUUUCUGGACACAAACUGACGCUGAGGUACGAAAGCGUGGGGAGCAAACAGG
rnacentral:rRNA from 1 species